UACAAGGUUUCGUAGGUGAACUGCGGAAGGAUCUUG
rnacentral:rRNA from 1 species